rnacentral:rRNA from 1 species
UACGUAGGGGGCGAGCGUUGUCCGGAAUCAUUGGGCGUAAAGAGCGUGUAGGCGGCCACUUAAGUCCUGCGUGAAAUCUUGCGGCUCAACCGCAAGCGGUCGUGGGAAACUGGGUGGCUAGAGUGCGGGAGAGGAGAGUGGAAUUCCUGGUGUAGCGGUGGAAUGCGCAGAUAUCAGGAAGAACACCCGUGGCGAAGGCGGCUCUCUGGAACGCAACUGACGCUGAGACGCGAAAGCGUGGGGAGCAAACAGG